UACGGAGGGUGCAAGCGUUGUUCGGAUUUACUGGGCGUAAAGAGCGCGCAGGCGGUCGUCCAAGUCGCGUGUGAAAGCCCCCGGCUCAACUGGGGAGGGUCACGCGAUACUGGUCGACUCGAAGGCAGGAGAGGGUAGUGGAAUUCCCGGUGUAGUGGUGAAAUGCGUAGAUAUCGGGAGGAACACCAGUGGCGAAGGCGACUACCUGGCCUGUUCUUGACGCUGAGGCGCGAAAGCUAGGGGAGCAAACGGG
rnacentral:rRNA from 1 species